GAGUUUGAUCAUGGCUCAGGAUGAACGCUGGCGGCGUGCCUAAUACAUGCAAGUCGAGCGAACAGAUAAGGAGCUUGCUCCUUUGACGUUAGCGGCGGACGGGUGAGUAACACGUGGGUAACCUACCUAUAAGACUGGGAUAACUUCGGGAAACCGGAGCUAAUACCGGAUAACAUUUGGAACCGCAUGGUUCUAAAGUGAAAGAUGGUUUUGCUAUCACUUAUAGAUGGACCCGCGCCGUAUUAGCUAGUUGGUAAGGUAACGGCUUACCAAGGCAACGAUACGUAGCCGACCUGAGAGGGUGAUCGGCCACACUGGAACUGAGACACGGUCCAGACUCCUACGGGGCGCAGCAGA
rnacentral:rRNA from 1 species